rnacentral:rRNA from 1 species
GACGAACGCUGGCGGCGUGCUUAACACAUGCAAGUCGAACGGAAAGGCCCUGCUUUUGUGGGGUGCUCGAGUGGCGAACGGGUGAGUAACACGGGAGUAACCUGCCCUUGACUUUGGGAUAACUUUAGGAAACUGGGGCUAAUACCGGAUAGGAGCUCCUGCUGCAUGGUGGGGGUUGGAAAGUUUCGGCGGUUGGGGAUGGACUCGCGGCUUAUCAGCUUGUUGGUGGGGUAGUGGCUUACCAAGGCUUUGACGGGUAGCCGGCCUGAGAGGGUGACCGGCCACAUUGGGACUGAGAUACGGCACAGACUCCUACGGGAGGCAGCAGUGGGGAAUAUUGCACAAUGGGCGGAAGCCUGAUGCAGCAACGCCGCGUGCGGGAUGACGGCCUUCGGGUUGUAAACCGCUUUCGCCUGUGACGAAGCGUGAGUAACGGUAAUGGGUAAAGAAGCACCGGCUAACUCCGUG